rnacentral:rRNA from 1 species
UACGGGGGGGGCAAGCGUUGUUCGGAAUUACGGGGCGUAAAGGGCUCGUAGGCGGCCAAUUAAGUCAGACGUGAAAUCCCUCGUCUUAACCGGGGAAGUGCGUCUGAUACUGGAUGGCUUGAAUCCGGGAGAGGGAUGCGGAAUUCCAGGUGUAGCGGUGAAAUGCGUAGAUAUCUGGAGGAACACCGGUGGCGAAGGCGGCAUCCUGGACCGGCAUUGACGCUGAGGAGCGAAAGCCAGGGGAGCAAACGGG